rnacentral:tRNA from 1 species
UGGCUCAGAGAGUAAAGCGUCUGCCUGCAAUGCAGGAGACCCAGGUUCGAUCCCUGG